AGUGAACGCUGGCGGUAGGCCUAACACAUGCAAGUCGAACGGCAGCACAGUAAGAGCUUGCUCUUACGGGUGGCGAGUGGCGGACGGGUGAGGAAUACAUCGGAAUCUACUUUUUCGUGGGGGAUAACGUAGGGAAACUUACGCUAAUACCGCAUACGACCUACGGGUGAAAGCAGGGGAUCUUCGGACCUCGCGCGAUUGAAUGAGCCGAUGUCGGAUUAGCUAGUUGGCGGAGUAAAGGCCCACCAAGGCGACGAUCCGUAGCUGGUCUGAGAGGAUGAUCAGCCACACUGGAACUGAGACACGGUCCAGACUCCUACGGGAGGCAGCAGUGGGGAAUAUUGGACAAUGGGCGCAAGCCUGAUCCAGCCAUACCGCGUGGGUGAAGAAGGCCUUCGGGUUGUAAAGCCCUUUUGUUGGGAAAGAAAAGCAGCAGGUUAAUACCCCGCUGUUCUGACGGUACCCAAAGAAUAAGCACCGGCUAACUUCGUG
rnacentral:rRNA from 1 species